AGUUUGAUCCUGGCUCAGGACGAACGCUGGCGGCGCGCCUAACACAUGCAAGUCGAACGAGCGAGAGAGAGCUUGCUUUCUCGAGCGAGUGGCGAACGGGUGAGUAACGCGUGAGGAACCUGCCUCAAAGAGGGGGACAACAGUUGGAAACGACUGCUAAUACCGCAUAAGCCCACGACCCGGCAUCGGGUAGAGGGAAAAGGAGCAAUCCGCUUUGAGAUGGCCUCGCGUCCGAUUAGCUAGUUGGUGAGGUAACGGCCCACCAAGGCGACGAUCGGUAGCCGGACUGAGAGGUUGAACGGCCACAUUGGGACUGAGACACGGCCCAGACUCCUACGGGAGGCAGCAGUGGGGAAUAUUGCACAAUGGGGGAAACCCUGAUGCAGCGACGCCGCGUGGAGGAAGAAGGUCUUCGGAUUGUAAACUCCUGUUGUUGAGGAAGAUAAUGACGGUACUCAACAAGGAAGUGACGGCUAACUACGUGCCAGCAGCCGCGGUAAAACGUAGGUCACAAGCGUUGUCCGGAAUUACUGGGUGUAAAGGGAGCGCAGGCGGGAAGGCAAGUUGGAAGUGAAAUCCAUGGGCUCAACCCAUGAACUGCUUUCAAAACUGUUUUUCUUGAGUAGUGCAGAGGUAGGCGGAAUUCCCGGUGUAGCGGUGGAAUGCGUAGAUAUCGGGAGGAACACCAGUGGCGAAGGCGGCCUACUGGGCACCAACUGACGCUGAGGCUCGAAAGUGUGGGUAGCAAACAGGAUUAGAUACCCUGGUAGUCCACACUGUAAACGAUGAUUACUAGGUGUUGGAGGAUUGACCCCUUCAGUGCCGCAGUUAACACAAUAAGUAAUCCACCUGGGGAGUACGACCGCAAGGUUGAAACUCAAAGGAAUUGACGGAAGG
rnacentral:rRNA from 1 species